CCAAUAGCGUAUAUUAAAGUUGUUGCAGUUAAAAAGCUCGUAGUUGAAUUUCGGGGUUCUACCGUUGGUCGGGCUAACCAGUCUGUACUAGCGUGUAGAAUUUCUACCUUCUGGGGAACCAUCAUGUUAUUAAUUUAGCGUGGUGGGAAACCAGGACCUUUACCUUGAAAAAAUUAGAGUGUUCAAAGCAGGCUUACGUCUGAAUACAUUAGCAUGGAAUAAUAAAAUAGGACGGUGGUCCUGUUUUGUUGGUUUCUGAAUCACCGUAAUGAUUAAUAGGGAUAGUUGGGGGCAUUAGUAUUCAAUUGUCAGAGGUGAAAUUCUUGGAUUUAUUGAAGACUAACUUCUGCGAAAGCAUUUGCCAAGGAUGUUUUCAUUAAUCAAGAACGAAAGUUAGGGGAUCGAAGACGAUCAGAUACCGUCGUAGUCUUAACCAUAAACUAUGCCGACUAGGGAUCGGACGAUGUUAACUUUUAUUGACUCGUUCGGCGCCUUACG
rnacentral:rRNA from 1 species